AACGAACGCUGGCGGCAUGCCUAACACAUGCAAGUCGAACGAGACCUUCGGGUCUAGUGGCGCACGGUUUCGUAACGCGUGGGAACCUGCCCUUAGGUUUGGAAUAACUCCCCGAAAGGGGUGCUAAUACCGGAUAAUGUCUUCUGACCGAAGAUUUAUUGCCCUUGGAUGGGCCCGCGUUGGAUUAGCUAGUUGGUAGGGUAAAAGCCUACCAAGGCGACGAUUCAUAGCUGGUCUGAGAGGAUGAUCAGCCACACUGGGACUGAGACCCGGCCCAGACUCCUACGGGAGGCAGCAGAGGGGAAUAUUGGACAAUGGGCGGAGGCCUGAUCCAGCAAUGCCGCGUGAGUGAUGAAGGCCUUAGGGUUGUAAAGCGCUUUUACCCGGGAUGAUAAUGACAGUACCGGGAGAAUAAGCUCCGGCUAACUCCGUG
rnacentral:rRNA from 1 species